rnacentral:rRNA from 1 species
UACAGAGGGUGCAAGCGUUGUUCGGAGUUAUUGGGCGUAAAGCGCGUGUAGGCGGCUUUGCAAGUCGGGUGUGAAAGCCCUCGGCUCAACCGAGGAAGUGCGCCCGAAACUGCAGAGCUUGAGUACCGGAGAGGGUGGCGGAAUUCCCCAAGUAGAGGUGAAAUGCGCAGAUAUCGGGAGGAACACCAAUGGCGAAGGCAGCUCACUGGGACGGCACUGACGCUGAGACGCGAAAGCGUGGGGAGCAAACAGG